CAAGUCGGACGGGAUUGAGUAGCUUGCUAUUCAUGAGAGUGGCGCACGGGUGCGUAACACGUAUGUAACCUACCUUUGUCAGGGGGAUAGCCUCUCGAAAGAGAGAUUAAGACCGCAUAAAAUCACAAUGUGGCAUCACAAAAUGAUCAAAUAUUUAUAGGACAAAGAUGGGCAUGCGGAACAUUAGCUAGUUGGCGAGGUAACGGCUCACCAAGGCUACGAUGUUUAGGGGAUCUGAGAGGAUGACCCCCCACACUGGUACUGAGACACGGACCAGACUCCUACGGGAGGCAGCAGUAAGGAAUAUUGGUCAAUGGACGGAAGUCUGAACCAGCCAUGCCGCGUGCAGGAAGACGGCCCUACGGGUUGUAAACUGCUUUUGCAGGGGAAUAAACCUUGAUAUGUAUAUCAAGCUGAAUGUACUCUGAGAAUAAGGAUCGGCUAACUCCGUGCCAGCAGCCGCGGUAAUACGGAGGAUCCGAGCGUUAUCCGGAUUUAUUGGGUUUAAAGGGUGCGUAGGUGGCCUGUUAAGUCAGGGGUGAAAGACGGUAGCUCAACUAUCGCAGUGCCCUUGAUACUGAUGGGCUUGAAUGAACUAGAGGUAGGCGGAAUGUGACAAGUAGCGGUGAAAUGCAUAGAUAUGUCACAGAACACCGAUUGCGAAGGCAGCUUACUAUGGUUUAAUUGACACUGAGGCACGAAAGCGUGGGGAUCAAACAGGAUUAGAUACCCUGGUAGUCCACGCCCUAACGAUGAAUACUCGAUGUUGGCGAUAUACGGUCACGUC
rnacentral:rRNA from 1 species